CCCUGGUCAGGGAACUAAGAUCCUGCGUGCUGUGCGGCGCAGCCAAAAAAAAAAAAAAAAAAAGCCUGAGGCUGAAGCCACACCUCAGACCAAGUAAAUCAGAACGUCUGGGGAGGGACCCAGGCAACAGUCUUCAAGGUUUUCCAGGUGAUUUCAAUGGGCGGCCAAGGUUGAGACCCACCGCUAUGGUCUACAUCCUCUGGGGGUCCAAAAGCUUCUGCCCUGCAGUGGACACCUGUGGGAUUGUUAGACUGACGCCACUAUUCGAGGAAGUGUCUUUUCUGAAUGGUUACAGUAAGAGCCGUCACAUUCCUAUAAUGUCACCCCCACCACACACACACACUUAACCGUGAGUUGAUUGAAUGCCUCAGGUAGGCUGGACCAAUGAGUUCUUUCCCUUGGAAUUUUGGAACUGAGACUGAAUGUCUCUGGGUGACUGAAUCUGUUAGAUGUGAGGGUUGGGAACUCUCAGUGCUCCCUCUCCCAUCACGCGGACCAGAGAGAGGAGCACUGGAGAGAAAGAGAGAUUUCUGGUGUUGUUUGAGUCUCUGGUUCCAUUUCCCUCCAGAUGCCCAGCUAUAGUCUUGUCCUUGGCUCAUGCGUCCUUAUAAUACAUUUCCCUUUGUGCUUCAUAGUUUGGGUUGGGUUUCUGUGACCUGCAACCUGCAAAUGCUUAUUUAAUAUAAUCCUAGGCCUGUUAACUAUGUUCCAGAACAGAAUUUAUUUUUUUUUAAAUUUUGGUCUCAUGGCUUGCAGGAUCUUAGUUCCCCGACCAGGGAUUGAACCCGGGCCCACAGCAGUGAAAGAAACCUAACCACUGGAUCGCCAAGGAACUCCUGGAACAGAAUUUCCAACUAGAUCCCACAGAACUCACGUUCCUCCAGCAACGACAGCUCCACACCUUCCCCUUCCACAUUGUUGAGGACCUCAAUGAACCUGGCUCCUGAGCAAAAUGUGGAGGACACCAACCUCAGGCUAGAAGAGCAGCAGCAGCAGGCGCCAGGGGAGACAACCCUUCAGGAAGACGGUGCUGUCUUCCUGCCAUGCUUACGCCACCCAUCCUGGCUGAAGCCUAAAGACUCCUUCUUAAGCAACGUUACUGCAACCAGAGUUCUGGGUUUCAUGCUUCAAGUGGCCUUCAUCCACAACCCACAACCCACAUCUCACCACUGCCUACUGAGCAAGGUGUGUUUGGACCUUGCCACGCCCACCUGGGAUCAAGAGGCAGCAACCAGGAAUGGCAGGGACGUGAUCAGUGGGGGAGGUUCCUGAUUCGUGCUCCAGACCCCACAUCAGCACAGCUGAGGGCUCCAAGCAGAACGUUGGUGAAAAGUUGCUUUACACUUCAGAAUUUCAGCUUCUGCAGAUGAAGGAACAUGCAGUCAACCCUCAGCUUCUCCCAACCAGAUGGAAUUAAACCGCACUCCCUCUUCGUGUUCUCUGUAAAGUGCAGCCUCAGGUGUGAGAAGCGGGCAGCAGACGGGCACAUUUUAUAGUUGGACACUGAGGCUUAGAAGGGUUGAGUAGCCUGUCUGGGGUGACUAACGAUCCUAUUUUGCCCAGGCCUGUCCUGGUUUUAGCAUUGAAAGUUCCAUGUCCCAAAAUACCCUUAAUUUUGGGCAAACUGAGAAAGCUGGUUAGUGUCUUCCAAAGUCACACAACUAGCAAGUGCUGGAGCUGAAUCUGAACCCAGAUCUCACCAUCUCCCAUGUCCUCCUCCUGCUGAAUGAGUGAAUUCCUGAGCAGGUCAAUCACGUGAAAUAUAUUCAGAGCAACAAGAGAUCCAGAGAAUCUUAUUGUUCCUUUAUCAAUGAUGGUUCAGAGACUUUAAGUAAUUUGCCCAAGACAAGCGAUAGCGCUGGAUGGACCUCAGCCUGAUUCUCUCUUUUCACUCUGCAAUCCUGGCAUCAGUGACCACACUUCCCUGGCCACAGGUGGGAUGUGCAUUUCCUCCUCUGUGCUUGGCUGAAUCCCCAUAUGCCCACCCGCUGUGCUCAUUCACCGCACUCUGAAGAUGUAUUCCUUAUGUUUGCCCCUCAUAAGGCUGUGAGCCCCUCCAGGGUGGGGAACUUCAUUUCUGUUUUCCAGGAUCCCUCAGUAAAUGCUUUUGAUCCCAUCAAGUUCAAGCUACCUUGGCCUGUGUGUCAGAAAUAUAGGCUCUAAAGAAUGAGGUGACUUCCUUAAAUUCACACAGCUAAGAAAUAUUGGAUGGAGGACCUCAACACAGAAUUCUGUGUUUAUGCCCAGUAUUCUUCUGAAUACAGAAUUUCUUCAGGGGAAGUGUAAAUGAGAAAUUGAAGAAAACCCAUAUGCAACCCUGUGAGAAGAGAGACAUAGCUGUGUGAAGAGUCAAAAGAGGAACAUUUCAUAGGAGUCUCGCUGCAGCUGACGCAUUUGACAGUCAUUUCUAGGGGACGCCUGCUCUGGGCCAGGUGGAAGAAGUUAACUGUACACUGUCUACAAGCGCAUAGACCCCAGAC